rnacentral:rRNA from 1 species
GAUGAACGCUGGCGGCGUGCCUAAUACAUGCAAGUCGAGCGAACAGACGAGGAGCUUGCUCCUCUGACGUUAGCGGCGGACGGGUGAGUAACACGUGGAUAACCUACCUAUAAGACUGGGAUAACUUCGGGAAGCCGGAGCUAAUACCGGAUAAUAUAUUGAACCGCAUGGUUCAAUAGUGAAAGACGGUUUUGCUGUCACUUAUAGAUGGAUCCGCGCCGCAUUAGCUAGUUGGUAAGGUAACGGCUUACCAAGACAACGAUGCGUAGCCGACCUGAGAGGGUGAUCGGCCACACUGGAACUGAGACACGGUCCAGACUCCUACGGGAGGCAGCAGUAGGGAAUCUUCCGCAAUGGGCGAAAGCUUGACGGAGCAACGCCGCGUGAGUGAUGAAGGUCUUCGGAUCGUAAAACUCUGUUAUUAGGGAAGAACAAAUGUGUAAGUAACUAUGCACGUCUUGACGGUACCUAAUCAGAAAGCCACGGCUAACUACGUG